rnacentral:tRNA from 1 species
GCGGAUGUGGCGGAAUUGGUAGACGCGCUAGGUUUAGGUCCUGGUGCCGCAAGGCGUGGGGGUUCGAGUCCCUUCAUCCGUACCA